rnacentral:lncRNA from 1 species
GGGCUUGCAACCGUCACUUGUGUCUUGAGCAGUUAGAAGAUAGAACGGUCAAGUCAAGCACCAUGUCUCUUGUUCUUUGAUCAACUAUAGCUCUAGAGUUUUUGUAGAUUUUCAAAUAAAACUCAGAGAUUCCUUGUAUGACUCUCUCUAGUCUCUCUUUUGUGGUAUUUCUGGAUCCUUACCAAGGCAGUGAUGAUAUAUGCCUUCUCUCAAAGUAUGUGGUAUUUGUGGUAUGAGGCAUAAUGAUAUUGCCUUCUCUCUCACCCUACUCUAACAAGGUUUUGAUAUCUGGAGCUCAUAGGUGGGAGAUAGCUAAUACAUACUUACAAGACAUUUAUUGCAUAGUCAAAUCAUGGAUCCAGAGAAACAAAUCAAUAAGUCAAAUCAAGAUGUGCAUGUGUGGCGAAUGAAUGGUGUAUGGUGAUGAUGGUGAAAACAAUGGUGAAAGUCUAAUUCUACUUUUGCUCUUUUGAGGGGAUACAUACCUUUCUUGCACUUUGAAGCUUUUUGAGUGGAAUGAGAUGCUCUCUAUUUCUUUUCUUUUCUCUCAGGUGGGUAUCUUGUACCCCUAAUUCUACUGUCGGACACUUGUCCAUUUUUACCUCUCGUCUCACUUUUUCUUUUCUUUCGAGGUUCCGGGCACUUGCCCCUUUUUAUUUCCUCGUAUUCACUCUUCUUCUUCUUUUUUUUCUCAGAGCACUCACCCUCCUAGAAUAAUGUAGCAAGUGGUAGUAACCAAAAUAUCUCGAGCAUUUAUUUCAUGGGGAAUAACAGGGAUAAGAUAAUGUUUUUGGCUAUUCUCUCCUGGAUAGGAGUAGAAUAUUUUUAGGUGAAUCUGGAGAUGGAAAGGAGUGGAUGUAUGUGGAUGCGUACUUCCGGAGUAGAAGCAGCAUGUAUGAGUGAACGUGCAAGUGAAUCUUGAUUUUAACCGCAUGACAAGUUCCUAAGGGUCUACACAGCUUGACCACACUCAAUGCUCAUAAGCAGUAAAAAGUAAAUGUAUGGUUCAUAGUCUAAUAAGCAUAUAUAUACGGCUGUGGUAGGAUUUUAAACUCUCAUCAUACAGGAACUCAUCAUGCAACAUUUUAAAGAUUUUCAAAGAUAAAAUUCUCCAGAAUUCUAGCAUCUCUAGGAACAGAUAAACAGCAACUCAACCUUCCCAUAUCAUAUCCGUUAACGACUUAGACUUUAGAUCAAGCACUCUUCCCACAAGUUCAGGUUUAGAGCAAAUCUUAAUUCAUAACAGUCAUACCUAAACUUGAGAGAGAUUUCACUUUUGAGAACUAGUCAUGGCAGAGCAACUAUUCAUCAUUUCCAUGUGAGAGCUUAUCAUGAGGGUUCAUAGCAAACUUUAUUUAUUUAUUUAUUUAGCAAACUAAGCAAAGAUAUAUAUAUAUAAGCAUAAAAUCUUUAUUUGGGUUUUUAUGAUUAUGCAUCUUUUUAUUAUUUGAGUAGAAACACUUAGCUGGAUAAAUGGGGGUGCUCUCCCCCAAGCUGGAUUUUGACGUAAUUUCUUCUGUAGCUAGCAGGUGACGGAGGUGUAUUUGAAUGUCGGCAGCACCCUGACAGCGAUUGGGAUGUCCUCCGUUUGCUAGUCUUCUUUGAUCCUUGAAUUCUGUGGAGCUCAAAUAGACAACAAAGCUUUGUGGAACCGGUUAAGUGUUAGCAUAAAUAUCUAGCCUUUAUCAUGUUGAUCCUCCUCAAUAAAUGUUACUCUCUUUAGUAGGAUCAUAAAUUUAUUUUUAUAUUUUCAUUUCUAUAGAAUAGGAAUAUAUUUAUUUUAUUUUUACGCCACCACAGUGAAUGUACUUAUGGAUUUUAUGCCUCAAGCAUACUCACAUGGGGCUUACUAUUUUUAACAUUUUUAUUUUCUUUUCAAGAUAGCAUGAUUAACUAACAAGCCAUUUAAGGAAAGUAAAUAACUAAAGGAGAAAGGGAAUGUAGAAAGGAUAAAUAUGGAUAAUUACCGAUUGUACCUUUCGGUGAGGGUUCAAUAUUUUAAGUCUUCUGAACAAGACUUCUCACCGUGUUCAUUCUUUAGGUGCGUCAUUUUAUUCAGGUGUGGACCUUGACGUCUGCACCUCUUGAUACGGUGUCACCCAUGUUCUUCGUUUGCCCAGCAGUUCGAAGUGUGGCGUUGGCAGCAUCCUGCUCAGUGUGUUUGUGCUUGUAGAUCCAGGUCUUUCACUUGGUGGAAUCUGGGAGUUAUAAAACUCCACCAUGUUUUGCUCCAAGUGUUCCUGCUCAUUUAGACAAGGCAGAGAUCAAGUGCAUGGGCC